GGCCCGGGCGCACCUGGCCUGGAACUGGCCCCCAGGACGCCCGCCGCCUAGCCUGGGCCUGGGGCGCCUGCGUUCCUCGCUGCCCGAGCCGGGCCCAGGGCAGCCGGGGACGCUGGGAACGCGGAGCCAGUGGGUGAGAUGAGGGAGAGAUGAUCCCGAGGUCAUCAGCGUGGGAGCCAAGGCCUCCCC
rnacentral:lncRNA from 1 species